GACGAACGCUGGCGGCGUGCUUAACACAUGCAAGUCGAACGGAAAGGCCCUGCUUGCAGGGUACUCGAGUGGCGAACGGGUGAGUAACACGUGGGUGAUCUGCCCUGCACUUCGGGAUAAGCCUGGGAAACUGGGUCUAAUACCGGAUAGGAGCCAUUUUUAGUGUGAUGGUUGGAAAGUUUUUUCGGUGUAGGAUGAGCUCGCGGCCUAUCAGCUUGUUGGUGGGGUAAUGGCCUACCAAGGCGGCGACGGGUAGCCGGCCUGAGAGGGUGGACGGCCACAUUGGGACUGAGAUACGGCCCAGACUCCUACGGGAGGCAGCAGUAGGGAAUAUUGCACAAUGGGCGCAAGCCUGAUGCAGCGACGCCGCGUGGGGGAUGACGGCCUUCGGGUUGUAAACUCCUUUCGCUAGGGACGAAGCUUUUUGUGACGGUACCUAGAUAAGAAGCACCGGCUAACUACGUG
rnacentral:rRNA from 1 species